rnacentral:rRNA from 1 species
AGUGAACGCUGGCGGUAGGCCUAACACAUGCAAGUCGAACGGCAGCACAGUAAGAGCUUGCUCUUACGGGUGGCGAGUGGCGGACGGGUGAGGAAUACAUCGGAAUCUACUUUUUCGUGGGGGAUAACGUAGGGAAACUUACGCUAAUACCGCAUACGACCUACGGGUGAAAGCAGGGGAUCUUCGGACCUUGCGCGAUUGAAUGAGCCGAUGUCGGAUUAGCUAGUUGGGGGGGUAAAGGCCCACCAAGGCGACGAUCCGUCGCUGGUCUAAGAGGAUGAUCAGCCACACUGGAACUAAGACACGGAACAGAAUCCUACGGGAGGCAGCAGUGGGGAAUAUUGGGCAAUGGGCGCAAGCAUGAUCCAGCGAUGCCGCGUGAGUGAGGAAGGCAUUAGGGUUGUAAAACCCUUUUGUUGGGAAAGAAAAGCAGCAGGUUAAUACCCCGCUAUUCUGACGGUACCCAAAGAAUAAGCACCGGCUAACUUCGUG